GAUGAACGCUAGCGGCAGGCCUAAUACAUGCAAGUCGAACGGGAUUAAGAGGCUUGCUUCUUAUGAGAGUGGCGCACGGGUGCGUAACACGUAUGCAACCUACCUUCAACUGGGGGAUAGCCUUCCGAAAGGGAGAUUAGUACCGCAUAACAUAAUUGAGUGGCAUCACUUGAUUAUCAAACGUCAGGGUUGAAGAUGGGCAUGCGUCCGAUUAGUUUGUUGGUGAGGUAACGGCUCACCAAGACUACGAUCGGUAGGGGAUCUGAGAGGAUGGCCCCCCACACUGGUACUGAGACACGGACCAGACUCCUACGGGAGGCAGCAGUAAGGAAUAUUGGUCAAUGGACGGAAGUCUGAACCAGCCAUGCCGCGUGCAGGAAGACGGUCCUCUGGAUUGUAAACUGCUUUUGUUAGGGAAGAAACUUCCGUACGUGUACGGGACUGACGGUACCUAAAGAAUAAGGAUCGGCUAACUCCGUGCCAGCCGCCGCGGUAAUAC
rnacentral:rRNA from 1 species